GGAGAGAUGGCUCAGCGGUUAAAAGCACUGACUGUUCUUCCAGAGGUCCUGAGUUCAAUUCCCAGCAACUACA
rnacentral:tRNA from 1 species